UUAGCCUACGGGGGGCAGCAGUGAGGAAUAUUGGUCAAUGGGCGGGAGCCUGAACCAGCCAAGUCGCGUGAGGGAAGACGGUCCUACGGAUUGUAAACCUCUUUUGUCGGGGAGCAAAGCGAGUCACGUGUGACUCGUUGAGAGUACCCGAAGAAAAAGCAUCGGCUAACUCCGUGCCAGCAGCCGCGGUAAUACGGAGGAUGCGAGCGUUAUCCGGAUUUAUUGGGUUUAAAGGGUGCGCAGGCGGAGGUGCAAGUCAGCGGUCAGAUUGCGGGGCUCAACCCCG
rnacentral:rRNA from 1 species